rnacentral:rRNA from 1 species
UACAGAGGUCUCAAGCGUUGUUCGGAUUCAUUGGGCGUAAAGGGUGCGUAGGCGGCGCGGUAAGUCGGGUGUGAAAUCUCGGAGCUUAACUCCGAAACUGCAUUCGAUACUGCCGUGCUUGAGGACUGGAGAGGAGACUGGAAUUUACGGUGUAGCGGUGAAAUGUGUAGAGAUCGGGAGGAACACCGGUGGCGAAGGCGGGUCUCUGGGCAAUAACUGACGCUGAGGAGCGAAAGCGUGGGGAGCGAACAGG